UACGUAGGGUGCAAGCGUUGUCCGGAAUUAUUGGGCGUAAAGAGCUCGUAGGCGGUUUGUCGCGUCUGCUGUGGAAACUCGGGGCUUAACCCCGGGCCUGCAGUGGGUACGGGCAGACUAGAGUGCGGUAGGGGAGACUGGAAUUCCUGGUGUAGCGGUGAAAUGCGCAGAUAUCAGGAGGAACACCGGUGGCGAAGGCGGUUCUCUGGGCAUGAUCUGACGCUGAGGAGCGAAAGUGUGGGGAGCGAACAGG
rnacentral:rRNA from 1 species